GAAAUGCGAUAAGUAAUGUGAAUUGCAGAAUUCAGUGAAUCAUCGAAUCUUUGAACGCACCUUGCACUCCUUGGUAUUCCUUGGAGCAUGCCUGUUUGAGUAUCAUGAAAUCUUCAAAGUAAAUCUUUUGUUAACUCAAUUGGUUUCUACUUUGGUAUUGGAGGUCUUUGCAGCUUCACACCUGCUCCUCUUUGUUCAUUAGCUGGAUCUCGGUGUUAUGCUUGGUUCCACUCGGCGUGAUAAGUUAUCUAUCGCUGAGGACACUGUAAAAGGUGGCCAAGGUAAAUGCAGAUGAACCGCUUCUAAUAGUCCAUUGACUUGGACAAUACUUUUAUGAUCUGAUCUCAAAUCAGGUAGGACUACCCGCUGAACUUAAGC
rnacentral:misc_RNA from 1 species